GACGAACGCUGGCGGCGUGCUUAACACAUGCAAGUCGAACGGAAAGGCCCUGCUUUUGUGGGGUGCUCGAGUGGCGAACGGGUGAGUAACACGUGAGUAACCUGCCCUUGACUUUGGGAUAACUUCAGGAAACUGGUCUAAUACCGGAUAGGAGCUCCUGCUGCAUGGUGGGGGUUGGAAAGUUUCGGCGGUUGGGGAUGGACUCGCGGCUUAUCAGCUUGUUGGUGGGGUAGUGGCUUACCAAGGCUUUGACGGGUAGCCGGCCUGAGAGGGUGACCGGCCACAUUGGGACUGAGAUACGGCCCAGACUCCUACGGGAGGCAGCAGUGGGGAAUAUUGCACAAUGGGCGGAAGCCUGAUGCAGCAACGCCGCGUGCGGGAUGACGGCCUUCGGGUUGUAAACCGCUUUCGCCUGUGACGAAGCGUGAGUGACGGUAAUGGGUAAAGAAGCACCGGCUAACUACGUG
rnacentral:rRNA from 1 species